rnacentral:rRNA from 1 species
GAUGAACGCUGGCGGUCUGCUUAACACAUGCAAGUCGAACGGAAGUAGCAAUACUUUAGUGGCGGACGGGUGAGUAACACGUAAGAAUCUGCCUCCAGGACGGGAAAAACAGUUGGAAACGACUGCUAAUUCCGGAUGAGCCGAAAGGUAAAAAGAAAUUCGCCUGGAGAUGAGCUUGCGGCUGAUUAGCUAGUUGGUAGGGUAAGAGCCUACCAAGGCGACGAUCAGUAGCUGGUCUGAGAGGAUGAGCAGCCACACUGGGACUGAGACACGGCCCAGACUCCUACGGGAGGCAGCAGUGGGGAAUUUUCCGCAAUGGGCGAAAGCCUGACGGAGCAAGACCGCGUGGGGGAGGAAGGUUCUUGGAUUGUCAACCCCUUUUCUCAAGGAAGAAGAUCUGACGGUACUUGAGGAAUCAGCAUCGGCUAAUUCUGUGCCAGCCGCCGCAGUAAAAC